AUAUCUCUAUAUAUAUAAAGAUAGUGUAAUUAAUAUUUCAUAUUUUGCAAGAGCCUUAAAGGCACUGUAUAAGAAAUGGGGUGGCUCCAUUCUUUCUUCUCUCCCUUGAAGAAACUAUGGAUUAGCGUCAAUUCUGCUCAAAAGAAGAGAAGAGGGAUAUACAUAUUAUACGAGGACGUGAAGUCAUGUCCAUACGAAGAUGUCCAUGUUUUGUGGUCUAUACUCGUGGAGUCUCAUCCACACACUUUGCAACUCAAACAAUGAUGAAUCCAUUUCAUUUCUCUCUUUUUGGUUCGGAGGGUUCAUAUACAUCGAAUGUUCAUGCUCAUGGUCGAAAACGAAGAAGAAAGUUCUUAAUUAUCAGCAUGAUUUCAUAUAUCUGUUUUUUUUUCUUUCCUUACUUGUACAUAUAAUAUAACAUAAAUACACAGAGACUCUCUUUCCCA